CCUACGGGAGGCUGCAGUGGGGGAUAUUGCACAAUGGGGGGAACCCUGAUGCAGCGACGCCGCGUGGGUGAAGAAGCGCCUCGGCGCGUAAAGCCCUGUCAGCAGGGAAGAAAAUGACGGUACCUGAAGAAGAAGCCCCGGCUAACUACGUGCCAGCAGCCGCGGGAAUACGUAGGGGGCAAGCGUUAUCCGGAUUUACUGGGUGUAAAGGGGGCGCAGACGGCGGUGCAAGCCAGGAGUGAAAGCCCGGGGCCCAACCCCGGGACUGCUCUUGGAACUGCGUGGCUGGAGUGCAGGAGGGGCAGGCGGAAUUCCUGGUGUAGCGGUGAAAUGCGUAGAGAUCAGGAGGAACACCGGUGGCGAAGGCGGCCUGCUGGACGGCAACUGACGUUGAGGCCCGAAAGCGUGGGGAGCAAACAGGAUUAGAUACCCGAGUAGUC
rnacentral:rRNA from 1 species